rnacentral:rRNA from 1 species
UACGGAGGGGGCUAGCGUUGUUCGGAAUGACUGGGCGUAAAGCGCGCUUAGGCGGGUUCUCCAAGUCGGGUGUGAAAUCCCCGGGCUCAACCUGGGAACUGCAUCCGAGACUGCAUUGCUAGAGUAUGGGAGAGGGAAGCGGAAUUUCUGGUGUAGCAGUGAAAUGCGUAGAUAUCAGAAGGAACAUCAGUGGCGAGGGCGGCUUCCUGGACCAAUACUGACGAUCAGGUGCGAAAGCGUGGGGAGCAAACAGG